CAGAAACAGAGCCAUGUUCAUGUUCAUGCUCAUCACAAACAAAGAUGUCCCCUUGUUUUGAUCAGAGUAGCUGAGGAGUGUGGCUAUAUAUGGUUAGUAUCAACUACUAACUCACUUUGGAGGUGGAUAAAGUAAUUCUUUUUUUCAUUUUAACAAUUAAUAAAAUCGUUUUUGGAAUAUCGUCUGACUUAGAGAACACGGUUUCUCACUUUUAUAGGAAUGAAAUAAGGCGUCGGCUGGACAUGUCUCCCAUUUUGGGAAAGUACCCUCGGCCGUUAGAUAAGUUUCUUUUUGAAUCCGAGGGCCAGCAUCCAUAAUGGUUACCGGUUGUAUAAGUCGC
rnacentral:lncRNA from 1 species